GCAGCUGUGGCCUACUGGUUACGGCUUCGGGCUUGGAACCGAAGGGUUGCCGGCUCGAUCCCCGACCAGUAGGA
rnacentral:tRNA from 1 species